CCGGGAGCGAGUGGGUCCGAUCCGGGGACAGGCCGCAAAUCGGCAGCUGCGCCUUGGGCAACCGCUGCAACACCGACCGGGGCUGCGAAUCUUUUCAGUGGUGGAGAUGCUGCCUGGCCUGCUGAAUUCCUCCGGCAUUUUCUGUGUGCUGCAAAGUUCUAGUACUCCAGACUCCAACUGAGUGAUCCAUUUCUGCUGGUUUGGCAACCCAGUUACGGGGUACGUAACACCCGUCUCUGCUGCCUCUUGUGUCUCCACAACACUCCAAACGUGACCUCACCAAAGCUUCAAGCAAGAGAAGAUCAGAUCUUCGUCAGGACUGGAGAAAAAAAGAUGAGAAGUCAGAGUAAGAAGAGGCCAGGCAGCGUUUGAAUGAAGAUGUCAUGGACGUGGAACGCAAACUCCGUGUCUCUCGCCGUGGAUCCUGACUGACCUGUUAUUGUUGUUCCUGCAUUUCCUGGGGAUAAAACGGGUCGAAAACAGAAUAACUGAUUCCACGUGGGCACCCGUUGUGAUCUUGUCUCAUCAAUUAGAGGAACCGCUCCUCAUGUUCCACUGGGGCAGCCUGAAACCUGCCGGCAUGAACAUUGAAUUCUCUGACUUCCGGUAGUUGCUCCCCCUCUGUCACUUUUCCUUUUAAUUUUCUCUCUUCGUGAUACAUCAGCCCCCAUCACUGUCUCUCCUUCCUCUCCUCCCCCACCCUCCCCAUCUGCCCAUCCCUCACACGCUCCUCCCCCCUCCCUCCCUUUGUUCCAGACUCCACCUUCCUCUCCGACCAGAUUGCAUCAUCCUUGUCACUGCCACCUCUCACCUCCCGGCUUCUGACACAUUCCCACACUCCACCCGUCCCUCCCCUGGAUCAGCUGCCAGCUCUUCCACCACCUUUCUGUACUGACCAUCUCCCCUCUUUCUUUCAGCCCAGAUGAAGGGUCUGGAGCCGAAAUGGUAACUGUUCAUUUCCCAUUCCCAUCCUGCCUGUCUCGCUGAGAAUCUCCGGCGCUUUGCGUGUUUCCAGCGUUGCCUGGCCAUUCCCUAACAUUCACCUUGACCUUCCCAGUCAGCACCACCACCGCUUGUCCAACUGAACCUGUCACAUUGUAGGUGGACUUUAGGACCCGGGCAGCUCAACACUCAUAGCCCGCGGCUGCUACUGAAUGCGUAGUAUUUCUGUUCCGUUGGUGGAUGCAGUGAACACAUUA